UUUCCUGUUCACACGUGUGCAUCCUGCCAUGCCUUAUAGCUCAGGUGUGCUUGCAGCCUGCCUGGCUUAUGGGCGUGUUCAUAGGGCAUGCCUUCUUGUAGCCCUAAGAAGCCCUAAGGUCACGAUGGCCCCUCAGUUGGAGCCUGCAGGCCCAAGACAAGGAGACAUAAGAAGAGGCUGCAGAAACCUAGAAGGAAUGAGAAACCACUUACAUGCUCAGAGAGGCAGAGGCACCAAUGCUGGCCUCCUGUGGGCCCAUCCCAGAUCAAGGAGGGAAGGAUGUGGGGAGGGGAUGACAGGGGUGGAUGCAGAGGGGAGGAGUCAAAGUCUUCACCGCCUGAGGGCGAAGCAGCACGGCAAGAUCCUGGCUGGGUAGAACCUGUGGGAGAAGGGGCAGAGUCAGGGCACGCUCAGGGGCAUCCAGGCCAGGCAAGAAGAAGCUAGCGGGCGUAGGACGGGGUGGCUCUCGGCUCCACCUCUCACCCCCAGGGAAGAAGUAUGGGUUAAAGCAGAGUCUCCCCAGCAGGGCAUGGGGUGCUGGAAGUGGCAGUGGCCUGGGGGUUUGGGGUGUCUGCGAGGUGACCAGUGUCCCUGCCUCACACCCCCAGUGCUGACACUGCGGCAGAGGGGAGGAGGAGAAGGUGGAGAGCAGCACAAAGGAGCAGAUGCAGCUCUCAAGGAAUGGAGACAGGGACCCAGGCCAGUCAGUCCCCCACCAUUGAGGCCAGCCCCCAGGCAGAGGGCACCCAGCAUGAAGACACCUCCACCCAGACCAGGACCCUCUGCCUGGCUGAGGUGGGGUGCCAGGCUGACCCCCUGCUGAAGUUGGAGGUUCCAGCUGGCCGGGAUCUUCCCCUGCAGAAGGCAAACAGCUGAACUCCUCCUUUCCCCUUCCAGCCCUUUCAUCCCCUCCCUCCAUCCUCCCGUGCCUGAUCUGGGAAUGGGCUCACAGGAUGUCAGCUUUGGUGCUUCUGCCUCUCU